rfam:Ktedonobacter sp. 13_1_20CM_4_53_7 13_1_20cm_4_scaffold_102430, whole genome shotgun sequence.
GUCAAGGACCCCCGCCUAAAAGGCAGGGGCUUGUGAAUGGGUUGAUUUCUGACCGUCUUUCACACGCUCGACUUGACUAGACUCAGCACGCAAGUGCUACGUUCGGAAGGUCAUGCUACCUACGGAUACUCGUCCUAGUCCGUAGCUCUAGCGUCAGUGGUUAAAAGCCUUGCGGGGUACGAGGUGGUGCUGCUGGCAGAACAAGCCUUCUGAACUUUGUCGAAGGGCACCGUAC